CACAAUAUAUGGGCACGCACCCUUAUACAGCUAUGCUUCCUUAUACUUGGGAUAUUUCCUUUGUUCUCGUGUACAAAACUCCCACACAACAUGAAAAAAUUUUCAAAUCACUCCCAUUUGAACCAGAUUCACUUUCCUACUUUAGGAAUUCGACCGAACGUCGCUUAUUUAAAAUACUUCAUUUUUCGACAGAUGAAUAGCGCUUAAAGAUUCCUACUUUUUGAGUAAAUUUGAAAUAUCUAUUUACCCACAAGAUAAAAACUCGCCUUGUGGGGUACCUUCCAUUGUUCAAGUCCCUCUAUACAUGUUCAGGAUAGUGCUACAUAUUUACUUGUCACUGAUUCUCCCAAUUACAGGGUAUUCCCAAUACAGUGUGCCAAGUGGUUGUCAAGGAGAGGCCAUUUUACCUGCUGUUAUUUGCAUCAUAAUUCAAGUUAUUAUUUGAUUUUGAAGAUUUAAUUUCUCCCAUUGACUUUGUACACAUUUUGAAACCCAUUGACUUUGUACAUAUAUAAGUGCAAUUUUGCGUAAACGUUUGCGCAUGUCUGUAUGUUGCGCGAUCAGCUGACCUGCGUGAUCGGUCGAUGCAAGCACUGUCGCACAGUCUUAUUGCAUACAUGUAAUUUCUAGAUAAUUUGUCUAGAAGGUUGUGAAAAAAAUCGUGUGAAAUAUCAAGGGGAAUUAACUCUGAGAUUUCGUGUUAUCAGGCCUCAACCAAUUUUUACUCUCAUUACAAAUCAUCCGUGCAUGUAUCAACCAUUUGCGCGGUCUUGCAUCGACACAUGGAUUCGAUCAGGACGAUAUUUUCGACCGACCCAUGUUUUUUCAGGUCCUCUUGGGACUUCCUGGACCUGAAAUUACACCAAUUGAGUUCUUAAUGGGUUUUGCUUGAUCAGAGGAUUCCAAGAUAGUCCCAUAAAAGCUGAACUGAAACCAAAUUCAUGCACUGGCGCAAGAGCUUGCAAAAGGAGUUGACACUGAAUAGGCAUGAUCAUGAUCGUGCCCAAGGGUGCAACGAGUCCAAGAGCUACACGUAGUGUGGUGGGCAGGUGGGUUUGGAAGCUGGACGGAUGGAUGAAGUGCUGGAACUGGUUCUGGUAGGAAAAAGUGUACGCAUUACCAGUACAAACAUGCUGUAACAAUUGUAAGUUACCGUCUUUUCUUUCUGUGCUAAGUCUGGACAGUGAUGUUAGGGAAAGAGAACUCAGUCAAAUUAGCUCUGAAUUUGCAUUAACGUAUCCCGAGAAACUUGAACUCUACAAAUGGCCUUUUUUAACAUUUCGAUAUGGUCACCUUAUGUCCAAAUGAUGAAAAAGGCCAUUAACAGUGAUUAUAUGUAACUAGUCCUACGUGUUCAGCACAAUCCAGUGAUCAACUUGCACAUAUUCCUUACAUGUAACUCCCUCCUGUGUACAUUAUUCAAUGGUUUUAGAAUGAUGGAUUUUAUUCAAAGGCAAGUCAAAUCAGGAUGGAGCACAAUACAUGUACUUAAUGUACAUUUGCAAGUUUUACGAUUGUGCUGAACAUAGGCAGUCCCUCAUGGUGCAUACCGUAUUUCAAAACCUUGCCCCCUGAGGACAAAACAUGUUAUUAGGGGUUCACGGUACCUGUGUAAAUAUCUAAAAAUGUAUGAAAUUCGAAUGUACAUAUAGACCUAUGGUUAUAUAUACAUGUUGAUGUACCGUAAGCUGAUUUCACGGAAUAGCUGAAUUUCCAUAUUUUACUUCAUUUGCAUACAUGUACAUAGGCAUCCUUCAUGCUAGAAGUCAACGUCAUUGCAGUUACAUGUAGAUCAGAUGCACGGCUGUCCAUGACAAAGGAAACUGCUGUACAACAAAGCAAGGAAAUUAAUAGAUGACACAGAAGAAGUUUUUAUCAGCACAUACAUGAAGGAAGUCUUUCGACAUGUUGGUGUGAUCAAUGGAAAUGCAUUUUGUACCAAGACUGUUCUACAGAAAGACUUAAAUACCAUGAUUUUCUGAAAAAAACUGAACCAAUAAGACAUGAGAUAUAGAAACAUAUGUUAUGUGCACAUGUCCCUGGCAUGUUUUAGUCAAGAUUACUGCAGAAAUUGUGAACACAGAUUUCGGAUGCAUUAUGCAAAGUUUUCAGCGGUCACAAGAUCCUGAUAUUUUAAAGGUGUUCCCAUGUCUUCAUUAGUAUGUACAUGUAGGGCAAAAAAACUUUACCAGUAUUUAUAUAAUAUACAUUAGUGAAAUGUCCUAACCAGUUUGGUGCAGGAUCCUUUUUCACCCAUAGGUACCCCCACGCGGGAUUUCUUUUUACAUUUUAAACACAAAGGAGCAAAUUGAAACUGCUGGCAUUAGUUUUCAGUGUGUGGGUGUUUUUCACCCAAAUAUAGCUGCGUGUGGGAUAUUUUUUUAAUCUAAUAACAGUAAAGAACAAAUUGCAACUGUUGGUUGCAAUUAGUUUUUUUAAUAUUUAUGACAAUUUUGUUCAAUAAAAGCUUCAUGUGAUUAAUAAAAUGUUAAUGCAAUUGAUGAAUAAAAUGUUACAAUUGAAGAAAACAUUCUGUAAGGUAUCUCAUGAGUUUUACUCACAUUAUUUUUGAAGACUGCAUGCAUCAGGUGAGAGCAAGUUUAGGAAUCCUUCGUAUGAAAAUCCUUGAAACAUGGAUGGACACACAAAGCAUUGCCGCAGGUGUCGUACUGGUAUCGUGAUUCACACCGAAUGCCGUGUUUCUUGCAAACAUCGCACGGCUUGGUUGGAUUGGUCUUUUUCGCAGUAGGUAGCUCAAAAAAGUGGUGUCCUUGAAAUCGAAUUGCUCCAGGAAGUGAUCUCGGGCAUUGUCAUGAUCUAUACUCCAGUAACGCUACUGUAUCCAAGAUUUCCUGAAUAAGUGACUGUUUGAAUUGAAGAACAGACAUCUUUCCCGAGGUGGCAGUGCAGAAGAUAGCUGUUGAUGAUGGCCAAGUCUAAAAGAUAGUAGAACACCUUCUUAUACCACUUGAUAUGCUUUCUAGCUGAUUUGCAUGUUGAAGGUAGCUGAUCAGAAAAGUUUGUACCUUCCAUUCCUCUUUUGUAAUCUAUCACACACUUGCAGAAGAGCCAAAGAAGUUUCAUUCCCAUUGCUCAUCGCCCCUUAUGCCUAUUGAAAUUGAUCAUGUAUGUUGUAGAAAUUCAUAUAAAUUUGCUCGUUUCACCUUUACAGUGAUCUGUAGCUUCAAUGUAAAUAAAUGCAGUCCAGAGAAGGAGUGUGUUUUUACAGUGUGUGACGAAGAUACACUGUAUGAAAGAAAUGCACAGAUAUGUGAAUAGACGUAAGUACAGUGUACAUGUACAUAAUCAUGACAUGUCAGAAAACACGUCAUGAAUGCAUGUAGCAUUCUUUGAUUUUCAUCUGUCUCGAAUUUGAAGCUGAGGAACCUGCACAAAGGUGAAAAUACGCAGUACGAAAGAAUGUAUGAGCCUAAGGAACAACAUGGACAGGGUCACUGGUAUAUAUUUUAAAUGCGUGUCAACACGUACAUUUCUACAUGUACAUGUACAAUGCACCCGUACAUAAUUUAGACAUGUAAAAACUCACAUGCCCAGUACAUGUACAUAUCGUUGAGUCAUAAAUUCUUUAUGAAUGUAUAAAUGCAUAUGUACAUAUCUAGGGAUGUGUUUACGGUGCAGGAUGAAGAUAUGAAAGUGAUGUACAAAUGUAAAUACAUAUAUAUGAACAGGGUACAUAUUCGUAAUUUAGACAUAUCAGGAAAUAAAAUGUACAUGUCAUGUACGUCAUUA